CAUGGGCUAGUCCACCAUCCAGAUCAGAGUUGGAAAAAUAAUCAAGCCCGUCAAAUGGUUCGUUUGGCACUGUUGAUCUACACAGAUGUGGAUUAAAAUGUCAGGAAGACGAGAGAAGGAGCAUAAUAGAAUCUAUUCUGGAUGUUCGGAACUGUUCCACUCUGCCCUGCUGUUUUCCUGCAGUCGACCAGCCACACAGACACCCUCUUCAGAUCCAGCAGUAAGGCGAUACCAGGAGAGUUGUGACCAGGGGAUUCCGGCAGGGUGGAGGGGGACGGACUAGCUCUGUCCUGGUGACCACAGGAAGAAUUGUACAUAGAAUAUCAUUAGACCAAACAUUUGAUUACUUUAGUCUAAAUCUCUGAUUGAUUGGGUGCAUCCUUAUAACUCCAUUCUCCUGAAGUGUGUAAUCGUUCACUACUUUACACAAAUGUCUAGUAUUUUUUUCAAAUCACUUUGGCAAAUUUUUCAAAUGGAACUUCUUAUGUUAAGAGCCUUUGAUUGAGCAUUCAUUGGCGUUGAAACAAUUAGCCGCUCAAUUUAGUUCAUAUGUGUUAGGAGAGCUUAAGAGUUUAUGGAAAGAGGAGCUCCACCAUCUCAAGAUACAGGCCGAAUGUCCCCUCCCCUUCCAAAAUGUGAAAGAUUGUAACACCUGUUAAAUCACUAUGCAUCAUAGGUAUAUUUCACUGGUCAUCCCCAAAGCCAACACCUCCUUUGGCUGCCUUUCCUUCCAGUUCUCUGCUGCCAAUGACUGGAACAAAUUGCAAAAAUCACUGAAGUUGGAGACUUACAUUUACCUCACUAACUAGUCAGCUGUCAGAGAAGCUUACCGAUCGCUGCAGCUCUACACAGCCCAUCUGUAAAUAGCCCAUCCAACUAACUACCUACCUCAUCCCCAUAUUUGUUUUUAUUUUUCUGCUCUUUUGCACACCAGUAUUUCUACUCUGCACAUAUCACUCCAGUAUAAAUUGCUAAAUUCUAAUUACUUCACCACUAUUGGCCUAUUUAUUGCCUUACCUCCUUACUUCAAUUGCACAUACUGUGUACAGAUUUUUCUAUUGUGUUAUUGACUUUGUUUAUCCCAUGUGUAACUGUGUUGUUGUUGUCACACUGCUUUGCUUGAUCUUCCAACAUAAAUUAAAAGAAUGUCAAUUUAUACAGUUCUCAAACUGUACUUAAACUUGACACUAUACAAUUU